UUUUUUCUUUUUUUUUUUCCCUUAACAUAAAUGGAGACUUUUAGAACUAAACCUUUUCCUAGAAAUACAUAAACUUUUGAAAGAAGAAUUUUAAAAAACCCCAUAAGUAAAAUACUACCAGAAGAAAAGGAGUCUUCAUUUACCAUUAUUCCCCCAGUAUAUUUUUAAAAAUUUAUUUUAGCGAAGUUAGAAAAUAGGGGGAUUAGUAUCAUCAGAUCAAAUGCAGGCAGCAUUUACUAGAUUAUCUUUACCAAGCAAGGAUUAAGAGUUGCUUAAGAAGUUGGAUACUAGGGACCAGAUAAAGGGAAUACUAGGCAAUGUAGCAAAAAUUUCUAUUUAUCAGCUUCACUUUAAGCCCUCUGCGCAUCUACUCUUCCAACAGACUACAUUUAAUUUUGGUUUUCUAAGAAACCUGACUUCUGAGUAUCCUAGUUAAUCUCCUAACUUUUUGUGAUAGCACAAAUAUACAAAGUAAAUAAAUAAAUAACCAUGUACCUCCUAAUGUUUGUACAUGUAUUACAGACCUAAAGUAAGUUUAACAUGAGGGAUGAUUUAAACAUUGAUGUAUUCUAAAUGGCUUACAGGAACCAUCUACACACCAUUAAAGGCAUUUGUUUAUAUACGGAUCUUUCCCCAGGGCCGGUGUAAGUAGUUUAUUAAACUCAAUAUAAAGUAAGUGGCUGUGAUUUUAAAGACCAAAGCUAAGUGUGUAUGUAAAAAUCAGAGCACUUUAAUAGAUCAGUCUCUGAAAAUCAAAUACUGGUGUAAUAGAUACAAAUUAAAAUAUUUUGUUGCCUUUAAAUGCAGGAAGACUAGAAGAUAAAUCUAGAAGAUAAAUCAGACUCUCAUAGAGGAAUGAAAUAUUUUUAAGGUAAAAUUUCAAAAUUUGUUUUGCAAAACAGUGGAGUAAGAAAACAAAGGUGUACUGUAAAGUAAACUUGGAUACUGUUUUAUAAUUCUUUGCACUUUUUCCCCUGAAACUUCUGUGAAACUGUGCCUAUUUAUACCUUCUAAAGUUUGUUUUUGCAUCUAUCCUCCUGCUUGAGUCUUAAAACUCCACAUACUUUGUUUAGCUUCAAUGGACUCUUUCUGAAUAUUUUAGGUUUUGAUUUUAGGCUUAUCUUUUGAGUUCUAGCAAGCAAAUGCAGUUAUAUGAGCAAAAGGUCAAGAGAAUAAUCAGUGAUGACUCUUUAAAAGGGUUCUUUCAAAUUGAUUAUUCACUCCAAUUGUGACAACUGCUUUAAAAAAAAGAUGUCAAUUUAUUCUCCAUUAAAGCUGUAUUGUAUUUUUUGCCUUGAAAGAAUAUAAAGAAAUUGAGUACAUUUUUCUCCCCACACACAUUCCAGUUGUAAAUACUAACACUUCUGAUAUUUCAUUUAUGAAACAAAAAUAGGAAUUUGUUGUCAAUUCUUCCAUAUGUAAGUUGCCAUGAGUAUUACUGUCAGUUAAGCAUGGUCUUAUUUGUUUAACGAAGAAAACUGAAAGUCACAAGGCACUGUAAUUACUGAUGAUUAUUUUUAAAAUUUUAUUCUCUCUGCCUGAAAUCCUUCCCUCUAACCUGUCACUUAUUCUGUUCCCAAAUUCAGGUCUGGCUGCUUGAAAUCCAAUAUUCAGGAGACAAGUGAUGGUAGAAAGAAAGUUUGCCUUAUUCUGGAGGCCAGCAACCAGUGGAGAAGGCGGACUCAUGUGCAAAGGCCAACUCCCCACUCUUGGUCAGUGGGCAAGAGCCCUUAAAGGGGAAUUUCAGGGCUUCUAAGUGGAGAGAGGCAGCUGCAUGUAGAACAGUACAGUCAGCUCUCACAACCAUUUUGAAAUUGCUAGGGUAGUGUAUGACCUUUUGCUCAUAUAACUGCAUUUGCUUGCUAGAACUCAAAAGAUAAGCCUAAAAUCAAAACCUAAAAUAUUCAGAAAGAGUCCAUUGAAGUCUGAUUAAUGUCAUCUUGAUUGUUUUCAAUACAACUACUCUUUAGUUCCAGGGUUGGUUUGUUCCCAUUUCUUUGAAGCCAGUUAUCAGAACUGUGGCAGCUUAUGUCAUGGCUACAGCCUGGUCAUCACAUAGUUAACUUCAUCCACCUGGUGGGGUUUCACUAUCAUUGAAAUGGUCAAAGGAUAUGGCUCAGAAUAUUAUCUAUAACCCUUGAGGAGGAACUAAAUGUCCUUGACUUUGCUUAAUGACUAAACUGUUAUUAUUCGGUUUUGUUUGACUGCUUUUCUUUGUUUCUGCGUUUUCUUACUUCUCUAAUUAAAUUUAUUCUUCGGAUCAAGUUUUUCUGUAGAUGAAAGGUAGGCUGAGGACAUGGCAGUAGAGCAGAGGGCUCUAUCCUGGGAAGGCCCCCCAGGAUCUUGCUCUGUUUCAAUUCCAGUUGUUGUUCCCUCACUCCCUUUAGGACUUGUUCUCAAACUUCAUUUUAUCAUUGACGUGUUUCCUGAACUCUCAGCUUAGAAUAGCAAACUUUCUUAUAUGAUGAAGUGUUCUGACAAGAUGUCUCUUUUCUGUGGUUUUCUUAAUCAGAAAUCCUGUACAUUCUACACUCUAUAUUCCAUGUAGCCCAAAGUCUUGCAUCAAACUAAUGCUUCCUCUUUAUAGUCCUUUUCCAAACUGGCUUUAAUUGUGUCCACCAUCUCCAUGAACCUUGCCCCACAUCGAAGAUAAGCCCUAAGUGGGUGGGAGAUGUCAGCUGCUGGUCAUCACGAAAACCCUGAGCUUUUGUUUACCAGGGUCAUGAAGCCAGUUAUGUGCAUUUUACAUGUUUAUCAGGAUUGAUCAAAGUGAAGUUCAAGCCUCCCUUCCACAUGAUGCAAAUAAUCCUCUCUUCAUCCAAUGCAAUACUAUGUGGACAUAUCCUCCUACCCAUCCCUUUCAUUCUAGUGCUUACAGUGUGAAUGGAAGAAAUUAAGUCAAAUUUGCAUAUAUUCGUAUAUAUGCAUGAGUGGAUAUACACACCUAUAUUACUAGAAAAGAGUCCCAAUAGAAAGUCUCAACAUAAGAAAUAAUUUCAUGGUGAUUUUUUUUCUUAUUGACAUUUAUUUGAUUGCUGCUUUUAUUUCUUUUUUAUGAAUAUUUCAUGUAAAUCUGAAAAGAAAAUACAUUUCUCAACAGCAUUGUUUGAAGAUGAAAAGAUUUUUCUGCUGCCUUAACUGUCAGGGAAGUAUCCUGCAUGAGAUGAGUUUUGAGCAUCAUUUUGGAAGAGGUAUGUUUUAGAAGGAGAACUGUAAUGCUAAUCUUCAAAUACUUCCAUAUUUCACCCUGAGCUUGCCAAGUAGACAGUUACAUGCAUUGACCAAUGUGUCUGGAAUGUUACCCAGACAGACAUAAACUUGCCUUUGGAUUCCAGUGAUCAAGACUCUAUCAAAUCUCAUAUGUCAGCUGUUUUGUUUUGUGAUUGGUCUCAUCAUAUUUCCUGAAGAUUUUAUCUUCCAUAGAUAGAUUAGAAUGUCUUCAAAAAGAAACAACUUGAUGUUUUCUUCAGUGUUUUCCAUAUAAAAGGAACUUAAUAGACGAGAGAAAACUAUUUAACCUCUAGUAUUUUUCAAAAAACCUGUGAGCCUCUAUGAAGUUCACAUUUCAAGAUACUUAUGUCUCUACACUUGUAUAUAUUUACAACUCUGCCAAAUGUUAUUUGCAUGAAUCUUACAAUAUUUCAGUAUGUUUGCACUAUUUCUGUAUAAGUUAAUAAAAUUAUAGCUUUCAGUUUUUGAAUGUGUACAUCUUAAAACAUCCUAAUAAUCUCUAUCAAAAAAUGCACUUGGCAAAAUAACAUAAAAGAUAAAAAUAAUUAUAAAAAUCUCUUCUUUAGGCCGCAAACUUAAUAUAUUUGAUAUGUGCAGGAGCACUCAAAAAACAGAAACAGGGAUGGACCCGGCGGGUACUACGCUAAGUGAAAUAAGAUAAAGACAAAUACUGUAUUUCAUGUGCGGAAU
rnacentral:lncRNA from 1 species